AUGGCCUUUGAAGAUAUCUUCGGCUCCCCCACCUCUCCGGCGACCAGCCCCACCUCCUCAGCUGCCAUCUCCUCUGGGACCUCCCCCACUGCUCCGGCUACUUUCUCUGCCACCACCGCUGCCCCCUCCACCACCACCGCUCCCUCCUCCGGCCAGUCCCCCCUCAACAUCCACCAUGACCACAUCUCCAACUACAUCAAGUUCAAGUUGGAUCCAGCCGAAAACAACUUUUCCAAGUGGCGCACCUUCUUCCGCAUGGUCCUCCUUCAGUACCGCGUCCAGGAUCACGUCGACCGCCCUCCUCCACGUACCGCCGAUGCCGACUGGCUCGCGGUCGACCAGCGCCUCGUCAUGUGGAUGCUCUUCACACUGGCCGAUCCUCUUCUGGAGCUCAUCUCCGGCGGUGUUCUUGACGCCUACACCGCCUGGCAGCGCAUCGCCGACUACUUUCUGGCCAACCAGGGCGCUCAGAUCCUCCACCUCACUCGCCGGUACCGGAACCUGCAGCAAGGUGAUCUCCCCAUCGUCGAGUAUGCCCGCCGCCUCAAGGCCCUGGAGGACGGCCUGGCGGACGUGGGCACCGCCGUCAGCGACAACGACCUCACCAUGCAGCUUCUUCAUGGCCUCGCCCCUCGCUUCGAGACGAUCCGCGUCGUGCUGGGCGACACCAACCCGCUCCCGCCCUUCGGCGUCGUUCGCUCGCGCCUCGAGCUGGCAGAGUACAGCCUCUCCCUGCGCACGGCCACCGACAGCGCCGCCGCUCUCUCCAUCACCCACGGCGGCUCCGGCGGAUCGGGUGGCCACGGUGGUCCCGGUGGCUCUGGCGGUCCCGGUGGCUCCGGUGACCGCGGUGGCUCGCGCCCUUCUUCUGGCGAUCGCGCCAGUCCUGACGGCGCCCACGGGCGUGGCGGCGGCUCCCGCGGUGGCUCCAACGGUGAGCGCAGCCGUGGUCGUGGCCGCGGACGUGGUGACUCGUCUGGUCGCGGCGCUCCAUCCGCGCCCACCGCCCCAUUCACGGGCUACUUCGCCCCGUACGGCAUGGCGCUGCCGUCUCCCCGCCCCGGUUGGUCUGCACCCAACGCCGCAGGCGUGCUCGGUCCUCGUCCGGGUGUCCACUCGCAGGCCUAUCCGGUCAUGCUCUCUGGGCCUUCGCCGCCAUACUCCGCGCCGGCCGGGCAGCUGCAGUUCCAUCCGCCCGCGCCCUCCUGGGAUCAUGCCGCCCUCUUCAAUCACGCCGCCAACCAGUCGGGCUUCCCCUCCAAUGAGUGGUACAUGGACACCGGCGCCUCAUCUCACGUAACGGGCAACCAAGGAUCUUCGCACUCAGACAGUACUCAUGACGUCCAGUAG
rnacentral:rRNA from 1 species